GUGCUCACUUCAGCAACACAUCACUAAAAUCGAAAUGCUACAGAGAAAAUUGGCAUGGCCACUGUGCAAGGAUAACAGGCAAACUCAUGAAGUAUUACAUGUUUUU
ensembl:snRNA U6 U6 spliceosomal RNA